CUGUGCUCCGGCUCUGAGCUGCCCCUCCUCGUCCGUCCCCUCCAGCUGGAGAGGAGCCGCGACAGAGCCGGAGCAGUGGC
rnacentral:pre_miRNA from 1 species